AAGUCGAGCGGAAAGGCCCCUUCGGGGGUACUCGAGCGGCGAACGGGUGAGUAACACGUGAGCAACCUGCCCCUGACUCUGGGAUAAGCCCGGGAAACUGGGUCUAAUACCGGAUAUGACGCAUUCUCGCAUGGGAUGUGUGUGGAAAGUUUUUCGGUUGGGGAUGGGCUCGCGGCCUAUCAGCUUGUUGGUGGGGUGAUGGCCUACCAAGGCGACGACGGGUAACCGGCCUGAGAGGGCGACCGGUCACACUGGGACUGAGACACGGCCCAGACUCCUACGGGAGGCAGCAGUGGGGAAUAUUGCGCAAUGGGCGGAAGCCUGACGCAGCGACGCCGCGUGGGGGAUGACGGCCUUCGGGUUGUAAACCUCUUUCAGCAGGGACGAAGCUAACGUGACGGUACCUGCAGAAGAAGCGCCGGCUAACUACGUGCCAGCAGCCGCGGGUAAAAUUCA
rnacentral:rRNA from 1 species